rnacentral:rRNA from 1 species
GACGAACCGUGCGAACGUUGUUCGGAAUCACUGGGCUUAAAGGGCGCGUAGGCGGGCGGCCCAGUCGGGGGUGAAAUCUUUCGGCUCAACCGGAAAAUAGCCUUCGAUACUGGUCGUCUGGAGGGGGGUAGGGGCGUGUGGAACUUCCGGUGGAGCGGUGAAAUGCGUUGAUAUCGGAAGGAACUCCGGUGGCGAAAGCGACACGCUGGACCUCACCUGACGCUGAGGCGCGAAAGCCAGGGGAGCGAACGGG